GCUACGUUUAAACAGAUAUUGGAUUGUUUUGGUGGGCGUCUUUUAAAAGUGUCUAAAACAGGUUUUUUUUUUGUGCUGGCCCCGUGCACAGCAACACAUCGCUCUGCUUCUGUGAGGAUGCUCGUUACAAUGCCCGAGAGGCCAUAGGAGGCGAAAUGAGGAGAUAGGACCCCAGGGUGAUGCUUUAAAAAAAAAAAAAAAAGCUUUUUAUUUUUUAUUUUGUCACAUGGCACCGUGGAAAAAUAGUCUGUCCAUCACCUUCCAGCCCAACAGGAUGAACAGACUGCUUGCCCUAUAUGAGGUUCUGUUCAGCUAUUAGGACGGCAUAUACUAUACCAUCUCAGGGAUGGAAGAAGAGAAGGAGGAGAAACGGAGAGGUAGAGGAGGAGAAGGAGAAGAUGAAGACAGAGUCGAGGGAGGAGGAGUGAAGUGGAGUACAUGGGGCGCAGGGCCGUGGCCAGGGAGGAGGCCAAGAACCCAGCGGUCAGUGUAACAGAGAUUCAGGAGAGUCAGCAGAGAUGGGAGAACCUGCUGGAAGGACGCCGGCGCUCAUCACCUGCUUAAUGCCAUCCCUAUGUGGUGAAGCUUGGUGGAGGUGGCAGCAUCAUGUUGUGGGGGUCCUUCUCAGCUGCAGGGGGAGAGAGGCUGGUAGUGCACAUUACCUGAGACUGGGGCAGCGAUUCACCUUUCAGCACGACAAUGACCCGAAGCGUACAGCCACGACAACGCUGGGAACGCUUUGGGACGAGUCUCUGACUGUUCUUAUGCCCAGACGUGAUAGAUGUUUAAACAGGAAAUAUAAAGGAAUUUUAUUUAAUUAUCAGUUUAUUUGAAACCA